GACGAACGCUGGCGGCGUGCUUAACACAUGCAAGUCGAACGGAAAGGCCCUGCUUUUGUGCGGUCCUCGAGUGGCGAACGGGUAAGUAACACGUGAGUACCCUGCCCUUGCCUGUGGGAUAACUUCAUGAAGCUGGGGCUAAUACCGGAUAGGAGCUACUGCUGCAUGGUGGGGGUUGGAAAGUUUCGGCGGUUGGGGAUGGACUCGCGGCUUAUGAGCUUGUUGGUGGGGUAGUGGCUUACCAAGGCUUUGACGGGUAGCCGGCCUGAGAGGGUAACCGGCCCCAUUGGGACUGAGAUACGGCCCAGACUCGUACGGGAGGCAGCAGUGGAGAAUAGUGCACAAUGGGAGGAAGCCAGAUGCAGCCACGCCGCGUGCGGGAUGACGGCCUUCGGGUUGUAUUCCGCAUCCGUCUGUGACGAAGCGUGAGUGACGGUAACGGGUAAAUAAGCACCGGCUAACUCCGUG
rnacentral:rRNA from 1 species